ACUCUCUGUUGAACAGAGGCAAAAAUGAACUCAGUUAUUGCAUUUCAACAAACACGUGGUGGGCAGUUUCGGAGUGAGAAAAAACGCAUACCUAAGGACGGAUGGGGAAGAGGGUCGUCGCCGAGAGAGGCCUCUGGAGAGGCUUGGUUGAAGGAGAGACAGUACGGCAUCCAGAAGAUGAACUACUUGAUUCAUCAAUGGAGAGUUACGUUUGGUCCAACGUAUAUACUUUGGUAUCGUUAAGAAGCAUUCUGUUCAUAUGUUUUAUGGCCUUACUGUACAAAGCCAAAGCGAUGUGUAUACCUUCAAUGAAGCUCCUUCAUGAAUAUCUCAGAAAAUUCCUGAAACAAUGGAUCCUCUAAAGUGAAAGAUAUAAAUGUAAUGGUCAUCACCGGUCGCGACUCCAUAACUUCGAGUUGUAUACAUUAUUAACUUUAGUACUCAAUCCAGUGUAUUUAUAUUUUCUUCUCUAAUAACUUAUAGUCAUUUAUUUUAGCCCUU